rnacentral:rRNA from 1 species
CCUACGGGUGGCAGCAGUGGGGAAUAUUGCGCAAUGGGGGCAACCCUGAUCCAGCAACGCCGCGUGAAGGAAGAAGGCUUUCGGGUCGUAAACUCCUUUUCUCAGGGACGAAGCAAGUGACGGUACCCGAGGAAUAAGCCACGGGCAACUACGUGCCAGCAGCCGCGGUAAUACGGAGGGGGCAAGCGUUAUCCGGAUUUACUGGGUGUAAAGGGGGUGUAGGCGGGAAUGCAAGUCAGAUGUGAAAGCCACGGGCUCAACCUGUGGCCUGCAUUUGAAACUGUAGUGCUUGAGUACUGGAGGGGCAGACGGAAUUCCUAGUGUAGCGGUGAAAUGCGUAGAUAUUAGGAGGAACACCAGUGGCGAAGGCGGUCUGCUGGACAGCAACUGACGCUGAGGCGCGAAGGCGUGGGGAGCAAACAGGAUUAGAUACCCUUGUAGUC